ACAAACCAAUGCCGCCUCCACCGCUUGAUCGUCGGAUUCGACAUCGAAUGGCGCCCCAAUUUCAUCUCAGGCGCUGCUCAAAACCCCGUUGCAAUACUCCAACUCUGCGUCGGAACAAGGUGUCUUAUCUACCAAAUUAUUCACGCACCUUCCAUCCCCUGGCGACUCCGUAACUUCCUCAACGACGACGAUUACAGAUUCGUUGGCGUCGGUAUUGAGAAUGACGCGAAGAAGUUGUUGAAUGAUUACGGAAUUGAACUUUCGGAUAAGGUUGAUCUCCGGGAGUGGGCGGCGGAGGAGCUUGAUAAUGACAAUCUGCGGCGUGCUGGGCUUAAAGAUCUGGUGAGGGAAGUUGUUGGAACACAGAUUUACAAGCCGAAGAGUGUUACUUUGAGUGCUUGGGAUGAGCGUUGGCUUAGCCUUGAUCAGAUAUGUUAUGCUUGUCUUGAUGCUUAUCUUUCUUUUGAAGUUGGCAGACUCUUGGAUUCUUGGUAUUAAUUAGAAUAUAUAUCAUGUUUAUAUUGCUAUAUAGUAUGGUCUAGCAAUAUAAUCGUAGAUUGUUGAUGUAUGCAUUUCGUUUCAGUACUAUAUAUGUUGAUAAGCUACUGCUAUUUGCUUAUAUCAUCGCAGAUUAUUGAUGUAUGUAUUUUGUUGUAGGAUGUUCCUUUUAUUAAUGUUGUCCUAGAUUAUUAAUGUGUGCAUUCGAUCUGUUAUAGUGAAUGUUCCUUCUAAUAAGUAUUCUCAAGGAGUGAUCUAGUGGUCAAUGAAGUGUGUUAGCAAUGUCUUAAGUUCAAAAUCCGAUAGAAACAAAAUACUAGAUCUGUUCUUCGCAUCUUUUUAAAUUUUUGAUAGACCUUAUACAUGUUUAGAUGGCGGGUCAUUGGAAUCAGUCGAGGCAUGGACACUAGGGUUAUUUAAAAAAAACAAAGGAUUCUCAAGUUCAUAAGUUGGACAACUACUUCGGACUUGACCAAGUAGAUAGUUCAUUCCUAUUUUACUUCUUUGUAAAGCUCCAUAAAUUAUAUAGUAUUCCAAGUAAUUUAACAUAAGUCACACUACGCAAGUCUUGGAACAUAUGAUUAUAGGUGUUUUUGAUAAAUUGGUUGCAGGUUGGAUUGCUAAGUCCAUAUAUAUUCAUGGUUGGUUGGGGGAAGAAAUUAUUGUGAUUUUAAGCUACGCUUAGAGAAAUUAGGGGAUUUUAGAUUAAGGACUGUGAAAAAUAUCUAAAGUGAAUUUUUUGAAAGAAUAAGUAUCAUAAUUUUCUAGUUAAAUUUUUAGAAUGGUCUAGGUAGUGAAACAUUGGUUCUAGAUAAGUUUUUGGGAUAAUCUAGUGUAGUCACUAGGAUAAAGAAAUAUUUAGAGUAGAAGUAGAAGAUAAAGACCUCUAGAUUUUUCUUUUCGAAGUAUCUAGAAGAUUUUCUAGAAUCAUCUAUGCACAAGUAUAAAUAGGGUUGUCUUGAACAUUUGUAACCAUCUAAAAAACAAAAUUCAAUACAAAACAUAUCCAAGUAGUCUUCUUCCAAAUUCAAGUUCUUGUUUCAAUAUCUUCCAUUCACUUUUCUAGCUUACUCUUCUUAGUUGAAUAUUCCGAUCUUAGUUAACAAUCUUGGUCUAGCACUUUUCUAGCUUACUCUUUUUAGUUGAAUCUUUCGAUCUUAGUUAACAAUCUUGGGCUAGCAGAAGGUUUCUCCAACUACACCUUUCUUUUGCUAUUCUCUACAUGGUAUCAGAGCCAAAGUCAUGGAUUGGCUUGUGUUUAUUUCAAGAUCGGAUUCGUGGUUGAUUCAACUAAUUUGUACGAAUGAAUUUAAGCAGUUGCAUUAAUGGACUGGGAAUGGAGUUGUUGAAUUAGUCCAAUUACAAGGUAUGAAAAACUUGUAUGGAGUCACACCUUAUGGGCGAGGGUUUGUGGGAUGUUGUUAACGGGAAUAACAGAAGUCCUCUAGAUGACGGAUCGAAGAAUAAUAGUGCAUAAAAGAAGUGGAAGCAGAUUAACGCAAAGGCAGAGUUUAUUCUGAAUAGUUCUAUCUCCUCCGUUUUAUUUGAUCAUAUUAUAAGGUGUAAACCAGCUCAUGAAAUUUGGUGGACGCUCGACCAAUUAUUCAACAAGAAAAAUGAAACUCAUUUAUAGCUAUUGGAGAAUGAAUUGGCGAACAUCACUGAAGGUAAUCUUUCUAUUCUGAAGCACAAAUGAGAAGAAUUAUCAUUCAUGGUUUGAAGCAAGAAUAUAUUUCCUUUGUGACAUCUAUUCAAGGAUGGGCUAAAUAACCAUCCCUGGAGGAAUUUGAGAAUUUGUUGUCGUCAUAGGAGUUAUUAGCCAAACAAUUGGCUGGUGAAUUAGUCAAAGAAAGGGAAGGAAAUGCUCUUGUAGCUGACAAGAGAAACGUUAAAGGAAAAGCAAGAGAUAUGCCUCAUUCCCGAUUCGCAUGUGGUUCAAGCUCGCCUGAAAAGAAGGAAGAGCCUUUUAACAAUUAUAAAAAACCUCUCAGAUGUUAUCGGUGUGGCAAAACAGGACAUAUAAGAAGAUAUUGUUGAGCCACAAAGAGCAACAUGGUUCAUAUUGAAAAAGUUGUUGAAGAAGAAGAAGGCUGGGAAAGAUGCUUAGAAGCUGAGAGUCGAGCAAUAAAUGUCUUGCCUUUCAUAAAUUUGGAAAGCGAUUGUAUCGAAUGUAAUACAAUCUGUUAUUUAGAGAAGUAAGACAAGGAUAAGAAGCAAAAGGAUACCGAAGAUGUUCAGACUUGAGACGUGGUAGCUACUAUCGAGGACAUUAAAGAAGCAAAUUCUGAAAUUGGCCAUAAAAGUUUGAACGUGAAAGAUGUUGAAGUAGAUUCUGAGGAGACAGUGUCUGAAAAUUAAUAUGUCAGUGAUGACAUUAUCAGAGAAACUAUUAAGGAAGAUGUAGUAGAAGUUGAAGUCUUUGAUCAAUCAUUCAUUGCAUCAAGUUCAAUCAUUGGCUCAGAGGAAAUAUUGAAAGUUGAAGAAGAUAACAAUCCAAAGAAUGAUGAAGUUGAAAGAGAAGUCUCAAUUUUAGAUGAAGAGACAUACAAUAUGAUUGAAGAGCUAGAGACAAAAUCUAGUGGUGGAUCCUACUAUGGUGCUAAGGCCUCACAAAAAAUUGAUGAUCAGAUCGUCAUCGAAUCAAAUGAGGAGACUGAUACAGAUGAAAUGUCCUUGUGUUAUGGAGUUGCUUUAGAAAGAGUAAGUUCUAAAAUCUUGAAUGCUAGAACUCCAAACCUUUUCAUCACAUUUGUCUCCAGAUAAUGAAGUUGUGGAGGAGUUCGGAGAAAGGGAGAGCUCGAGAACUCAACAUCAUAAAACACAUCAAGGACAAAUCAAUGACGAAAAAUCUUCAUUAUUGGAAGGAGAAAAAGAAAUUUGAAAAAAAUUGCUAAGAGUUUCACCAAGGCAUGGUUCAAAGCUUCGUUUGAGUUCUUCUGCAACGAGUUUGGGAUAACUUCCAAAAAUCACUUUAAGGGGGAGUGUGAAAAAUAUCUAAAGUAGAUUUUUCGGAAGAAUAAGUAUUAUAAUUUUCUAGUUAAAUUUCUAGAAUAGUCUAGUUAGUGAAACAUUAGUUCUAGAUAAGUUUCUUGGAUAAUCUAGUGUAGUCACUUGGAUAAGUAAAUAUCUAGAGUAGAAGUAGAAGAUAAAGAUCUCUAAAUUUUUCUUGCAGAAGUAUCUAGAAGAUUUUCUAGAAUAAUCUAUACACAAGUAUAAAUAGGGAUGUCUUGAACAUUUCUAAUUAUCCAAAAAAUAAAAUCCGAUACAAAGCGUAUCCAAGUAGUCUUCUUCCAAAUCCAAGUUCUUCUGUCAAUAUCUUUCUUCACUUUUCUAGUUUUCUCUUCUUAGUUGAAUCUUUCAAUCUUAGUUAACGGUCUUGUGCUAACAGAAGGUCUCUCCAACUAUACAUUUCUUCUGCUAUUCUCUACAAGGACAUGACCUCCUACCAUAAAAUUUGAGUUCUUCCUUAUGAUAUUUUGGGUUGAUCAUAACUCAUUCUUCUCAAAAUCCACCCAAUGAAAGUAAUUAUACUCUCUCCCACUUUUUUAGUUACUUUACUCUCUCUCCUUAUUAAUAUACAUAACAUAGCCGAUAUAUACAUAGCAUUAUAUGUAUAUGUUGGAAUUUUUAUAAUAUAUUUAGGGAGUUGGGAUUUUUUAUAAUAUUGAAAAUAUAAGUUGUGUAUUUGUGUAAUUUUUAAUAUUAUUUUCUCUCUGUUUGGUGUAUCUUUCCGAGAAGCUGAUAAACUCCUUUUAUAGGAGAGAAAUGUUGUGUUUUGAUGUCAUUGCUGACAUAAAUAAGGAUUGCAAUAUCAACCAUUGCAACCGAAGAAAUAUUGCAGAUGUACUCUUUGCCAAAAAAGUUGAAAAAAUCGUGGCAUACUUUGAAAAGUUAGCCAUCGCAUUAUGGGUUGGACCCCACAAAUUGUAACCAUGUCCACUACUAUAAUCCAUAUUAUAGGUAAAUUCAGAGUCCGAAACCAUUCUAUGCCACCAAACUAUGCCAUAUAUUUAAAAAUGUAUCAAUCUAUGCUUAACUCACAAAAAUUGUGAGUUAUGCACAAAUAUCUUUAACGGAAGGCAGCUCAUGGUGUUAAUUUUUUUGAAAAGUGCAUAACUCACAAUUUUUGUGAGUUAUUCAUUUUUAUUUUAACAUAACUCACAAAAAUUGUGAGUUAUGCAUUCUUAUUUUAACAUAACUCACAGUUUUUGUGAGUUGUUCAUUCUUAUUUUAAUAUAACUCACAAAAAUUGUGAGUUAUGCAUUUUAUUUUAACAUAACUCACAAUUUUUGUGAGUUAUGCAUUCUUAUUUUUAACAUAACUUUAGUACAUUCAACAAGCAUGAAUAAUAAUUACAUGAAAUUAGCAAUAUAAAUAAUAAUAACAUGAAAUUAACAAACAUAACUUAUUAGCGAUGAUAUUUUAGACCUGCCGAUAAUAAUCGACAAUAUCCAAGCUUAGUGACAAAUGAACAUUUGUAGAUGUUCCAGCAUUGUGCAUCCAUCCAAGUUGAGAUGAUUGACCAUAAUUAUAGUCAUUAAAUAAAUCAACAUUAUUUGUGUCACGCAGAGUUAAGCCCCUAAAUAAAAUAUAGAGAAAAUACAUAAUUACACCACUGAUGUUGUCCGAGAUUUUGAAAAAGACACCUAAACUUUCAAUACCGCUUAUUACACCACGAUUCUUAUUUAAUCCCCUGCAAAUACAUCAUUUUUACUUAUUUUUUGUCUCUGCGUGUAGUCACGCAUGCCAAACGCAUGAACAAUUAAAUGUAAUUCAGUUACCCAAUUAAACUCUGUCACGUGUCAAUUAAAUGUCUUAAAAAUGAAAUUCUCUUCUUCUUCUCCUCUUUAAAACCACAACCUCCUUCCAGUUGCCAUUAACGAUUAUUUUGAAGAAAUGUUUUGCCUUUUUUUCUAAUCUUCUCUCAACAAAAUCAACCUUAAAAGGUAAGAUAUUUCUAUUUAUGUUGUAAUUUUUAAAGAAAUUCAGUCCUAAAAGCUUUAAUUUCGUCUUAAUUUUUUUAAUUUGUUUGAAAUCAUGUUAAAUUUUGUGUCUAGGUAUUUGCUGAAAAUAGUUUUACAAUGUCAAAUGCAAUCUUUAAUCGAAUUUAUAAUGACGAGAACCAUCUCGUGUUGUGUGUAAAAAUGCAAUGCAAACGUGGAGACUUACUGUCAAUGCAAACGUCAUGGUCGGAGGACAACCCAGCUAGAAGAUUUUGGUCUUGUCCACGCUAUCGUGUAUGUCCUAUACAUGUUUUCUUAUUUUUUUGCUCUUGUUUCGGUUCAAUUGAUUUAUUUAUGCUCCUUUGAGGAGAAAUCAUGCAACUUCUUUAGAUGGAGGGACCCGAAAAAGACUGAUUUACGAUUAAAGACAGCUAUUCCGAGAUUGGCGAAGAGAAUCAAGGAGUUGCAAAAAGCAUUGACAUUUUAUUAAAGUAAUGGCAAAUGGGUGGUGAAUAAGGAGAAGAAGAGCAAAUGUUGUAGUUGGAAGCUCAUCAUCAUGAUUGUCGUAAUAUUUUUUCUAUUUUGGACUAGCAUUAUCAAGAGAACGGAUGAUAAUAAUCGAAUUUAUAAUGACGAGAACCAUCUCGUGUUGUGUGUAAAAAUGCAAUGCAAACGUGGAGACUUACUGUCAAUGCAAACGUCAUGGUCGGAGGACAACCCAGCUAGAAGAUUUUGGUCUUGUCCACGCUAUCGUGUAUGUCCUAUACAUGUUUUCUUAUUUUUUUGCUCUUGUUUCGGUUCAAUUGAUUUAUUUAUGCUCCUUUGAGGAGAAAUCAUGCAACUUCUUUAGAUGGAGGGACCCGAAAAAGACUGAUUUACGAUUAAAGACAGCUAUUCCGAGAUUGGCGAAGAGAAUCAAGACAAUUUAUUUUGUAUCAAUAUAUUGUGAUAUUGACAACAUUUGUGAGCAUUCAAAACGUAAAGUGCAAUGAAUAGACUAACAAAACAACCAUAAUAAGAGAAAAUAAGGACUUCAUUUAACACAUUCAUACGCUUGUUUCAAUUUGAACAACAAAACUUGUUUUGUUUGGUACCUAACAAAACAUACCUUGAUACCUAAAGGCACCUAACAAAACAAACUGCCCAAAACAUUGUUUGAUUGCUACAAAACAAGAACAAAAGCCUAUCACCAUCAACAAAACAUACAAAAAGUAAUUAUUUGUGACAAUAUCAUCAAUCUCCACCAAAAUAUACACAUCAUAUCAGCAAGAUCUACUUCCAUGGCACAUGAGUCUUCCUAGUUGAAAUGUUUUUGCCUUGACUUUUGGCAGCAGCUGUAGACCUCGUUUGAAUAACCUUUUCCGUCCUCAUUUUUUAAAGUUUUCUAUUGAUAAUGGCCGACUUCCCUUUUCAUUUGAAUCCUUGUCUUGGUGUGUAGCCAAUAUCACCAGUCAUAACUUCAGAUCUCUUUGUGCCCUUUGCACCAGUGCUAAUGACUCUUCUGCUUGACAUUCCAGGCUGCACAAACAAAAAUUCUACAAAGUACUUACAUUAAGAUUGGUAAAUCCAUCUUCAGCUUGGUAUAUUUCAAUCCCCACUAUCUUUGAUCUUUUAAAAGGUCUUGUAUGUCCUCCACUAUUGUCCUCAUGAUUUUGCCUUUGAGGAGGCACACCCCUUCCUUUUCCCCUUCCACUGGCAGGACUGGUUUGGCUCUCUUGAGUCAUUCCUCUUCCUCGACAACUUGAGAUAUUUGAAACACUUGAACCACCUGAAACACUGUCUUUUCCUCUACCUUUUACUCUACCUCUUUCUUUAGUAACACUUGCAAUGUUUGUGGUGGCCUAAUUAUUGAGAUAUUAGUACACAAACGUAAAAAAAAAUUGAUAGUAACAAAUAAAUAAAUAUACCUCUUGCUGGUAAGAUUUUCCAGGUGAAUGAAUUGGACCAGUGCCCCUUGCUCUCCCUCUUUCUCUACCAGUAGAAGCUCCAGCUUAUGUUUUAAGAGAUUAGUCCUUGUCCUUGUACUUAACAGAAUGUAUAUUAGAUAAUGAUUAUACAAAUACAUGUGCCUGAGAAGAUGUUCCAGCUGAUUGACUUAUACCAGGUUGAUCUCUUGUAGGACAUGAUCUUAUAUUAUGUCCCUGAGUACCACAUUUACUACAAGUAAUUACAGUACCACAUUUGCUAAGUUUUCCAGUUUUUCUACUUUCAUCAGCCCCCUUUCUUCUAAUUUUAUGUGGUCUUCCAGGCAACUUCCUGAUCUUUGGUGGCUUCACAGUAGGAUUAUUUGAUGUUGGCCACAUUUUUGUAUUAUUCAUUGGUUGAAUAAAAUGAGCAUAUGUGCUGAGGUAGGUAUCCUUGUGAUAGCAGGUGUCCACAAAUUAAUGGGCUCAUAUUCCUUGCGGUGAAGGGCAGCAACACCAUGAAGAUAAGAAAUGCCCCUAAGCUGCCAAGCUUUGCAACUGCAGCUUCUACUAACAAUUUCAACAGUAUGAGUUCAACCCCUGUCAACAAUCUCAAAACCUCUUUCCCCAUUUCAAGACAAAUUGCACUGCAUUGACUUGUCAAUAUUUUCUUGUAAAAUCUUCAAAGCCAUGGGAGAAAUAUCAAUGAUCCAAGUAUUUGAAAAUUGUCUCAACUGACCAAUUCUUUUCAUCAUUUUCACCCUAAUCUCCUCAAGCAUUGUGAUGAUUGUUUUGAACCUUGCAGGAAGUACCCAUACAUUAAAACUCUCUGCUAUAUUGUUAUCCACAACAUCACAUUUGCAAUGCUCUUCAAAGUAUCUUUUACACCAUGUCUUCAAAUUAUACCACAAAAGAUCAUCCAAACGAUCCCUCCCCAACAUCUUCAUUGCUUCUAUAUUCUCCUUCAAUUCUACUUCAAAUGUGAAUUUUGCAAUCUUCCAAAAUACUCUUCUCCUUUUUAUACCUUUUCAGAGCUUACACCAAUUAGCAAGAACAUGUCUUGCACAUUUUUUGUGUUCAAUCAGUGGCAGCAGCUCUUUUACAGCUAUUUUCAAUCCCUAACAAAACAAAAUAAGUAUAUUAAUCUACCAACAGUUGUUAAAGAAAGAAAAAAAAAGCAAAUAGUUGUUAAGAAUAGAGUUAUACCCUUUGCAUAUCAGAUCUGAUGCUCAAUUGAUGACCUUCUCCAAACUCAAGGUCAUUCUUCAGCAGUUCAACAAACCAACCCCAUGUAAAUUGAUUCUCAACCUCAACAAUUGUCCAGGAAAUAGGCAACAUUUGGUUGUUUCCAUCUCUGCAAACAACCACCAACAUUUGACCUUUGCACACACCUUUGAGGAAAUAACCAUCUAAACCAAUCUUCUAGCACCUUUAAAGAAUGUUUUCUUUAAAGCAUGAAAGCACACAUAAAAACCUUGAAAGAUCAACUGUCCAGUAUCAUCAGCAUCUCCAACUUUGACAACACAAGUUCUACCUAGAGUAGUCCUCAAAAUCUCAUCCUUGUAAUAAAAAAUCCUACCUUGUAAUCUUAAUGUAGUCUCUUAACUCAAAGUAGGACAUCAUAUCAACAUCUUUAUCGAAAAACUCAGUCACAGACCCACCAAUAUAUUUAGGUGGAGGACCAAAUUCUAUUUCACCCCUAUGAUACCAUCUUAAAGUUAUAAGCACAAAAAUCAUCAAAAGAUACCUGAAAAAACAACAAUUUAAUCACACAAACACAUUGAAAUCAGUAAACAAAGAAAAAAAACACCCCACCCCACUCACCCCCACUUGACACACACCCAAAAAGAAUUCGAAGUUGUACAUGUUACUACAACACCGUAACAGUAACAACAACAAAUGCAAAAAAUCGACAAACAUCCAACAAACACAUAAGUCAAUAUGUUCAUAUUUGCAUCAAUUUCAGUAAAUUAUGUUUCCCCCCCCCCCCCCCCCCAAAAAAAAAAAAUAUAACUUCGAAGAAUUCAUCAAAUCGAUAAAAUUAAACAUAAUCGUUGUACAUGCAUAAGUCAAUAUGUUCAUAGUUGCAUCAAUUUCACUAAAUUAUGAGCUAAAAAAUAUUUACCCAAAAAAAAAAAAUAACUUCAAAAAAUCUAUGAUUGGAGAGAUUAAAACUACAAUACACAAAACCCUAACUUGUAAAAUCCUCACUCCUAGGUUAAUACGUUUCCCCCCCAACAAAUUUUUCUCCCAAACACCUUCGAUCUCCUUCGAGUGUGAGCUUAGAGUCUAAGUCGCGACAGAUAGGAGAGAAAAAUCAAAGAAGAGAGAGAGAGAGAGAAAUGGGAAAUGAAUCGUUUCAAAUGAUUCAGAUAUUUUAUUACAAUCGGGUCGGGCUAUUGGGUUAAACCCAACCUUUUUAACCUUUUAAUAAUUAAAUUAUUAUUUAAAAAGAGAGUGCAAACCACGCGCCUAAAGGUUGCUGCAGAAUAUGGUCAAAAUGGUGUAUUUACAAGGGAUUAAAUAAGAAUCAUGGGGUAAUAGGCGGUAUUUAAAAUUUAAGUGUCUUUUUGAAAAUCUCGGACAACAUUAGUGGUGUAAUUAUGUAUUUUCUCUAAAAUAUAACAUAUGACAUAAGAAAUAGACAAAAAAAAUCAUUAAAAAUAUAAAAUAUUAAUAAUAACACAAAUUAAGAAAAAAUACCGAUAACUUUCAUUCAAAGUUUCAUUCAAAUCAAGUAUUGAGAAUUGUGUUGGCAUGUUACUCGGCAUGAUGUAUUGGGGAGCAUUCAUGUCAAAAAAAGUAUUGUAUUGAGUUAAAUGAGCAUUAACAUCACUUGUUGGAUCAUCAAAUUGUGUCUGCACAUUUAUCUGAAUCGGAGACUGCAGAAGAUGAUUUUUACGCUCCUUCUUAACAUAAACUUGAAGAAUGUUCAGCUUUAUUUGACUAGCAUAGUCACAAGGAGCCCUUAGAAAUUCAGUCAACGACUCAUCAUCACUAAUAAUCCAUUCUCCGUAAUUUACCAUUCCUUGAGAUGAGAAGGAAUUUGGAUACUGCCCGAAUAUAAAUAAAUCAAAAUCAUUAUUUUUUAGUUUCAUUCUUCUAAAAAUUAAUUCUACAAAUUCUCUAUAACCAAUUGAAAUUGGAUACUUCGCGUUGGACUUGGGGGACAUACUAUAAUAUAUUGUAUUUCCCUUAAAUGAGCAUUAACAUCACUUGUUGGAUCAUCAAAUUGUGUCUGCACAUUUAUCUGAAUCGGAGACUGCAGAAGAUGAUUUUUACGCUCCUUCUUAACAUAAACUUGAAGAAUGUUCAGCUUUAUUUGACUAGCAUAGUCACAAGGAGCCCUUAGAAAUUCAGUCAACGACUCAUCAUCACUAAUAAUCCAUUCUCCGUAAUUUACCAUUCCUUGAGAUGAGAAGGAAUUUGGAUACUGCCCGAAUAUAAAUAAAUCAAAAUCAUUAUUUUUUAGUUUCAUUCUUCUAAAAAUUAAUUCUACAAAUUCUCUAUAACCAAUUGAAAUUGGAUACUUCGCGUUGGACUUGGGGGACAUACUAUAAUAUAUUGUAUUUCCCUCGUGAAUAAUUUCAUCAUCCCAAAAAAGUGCAACUUUAACACGUUCAAAAUUUAUUCUCUAAAAUUUGAUAAAAUUUUGAAAAGAUAAAUUGAGUUUGAAGAUGAUUGAAAAAAAAGAAGAAGAAUUGAAGUUGAAGAAGAAGAAGAAUUUGAAAACUAUAUACAAAGAAUGAAUGUAUACGGGUGUUUAACUAGGAGAAUUUGAUAAAACUGAUGUAUAACUCACAAAAAAAGGUGAGUUAUAUACUUUUAUGAGUUAUAUGUUAAAUAGAAUUUCGGAAACGUUUUUCAUUAUUUAAAUAACUCACAAAUGAAUGGAUAACUCACAAUUUAUUUGAGUUAUGUUAAAAUAAAAGGCAUAACUCACAAUUUUUGUGAGUUAUGUUAUAAUAAAAUGCAUAACUCACAAAAAUCGUGAGUUAUGUUAAAAAUAAGAAUGCAUAACUCACAAUUCUUGUGAGUUGUGUUAAAAUAAGAAUGAAUAACUCACAAAAACUAUGAGUUAUGUUAAAAUAAGAAUGCAUAACUCAUAAUUUUUGUGAAUAAUGUUGAAAAUAAAAUGCAUAAAUCACAAUUUUUGUGAGUUAUGCUAAAAUAAGAAUGAAUAACUCACAAUUUUUGUGAGUUAUGUACUUUUCAAAAAAAUUAACACGUUAAGCUGUCUUCCGUUAAAGAUAUUUGUGCAUAACUCACAAUUUUUGUGAGUUAAGCAUAGAUUAGUACAUUUUUGAAUAUAUGUCAUAAUUUGAUAUUUUUUUUAAUUUGGUGGCAUAGAAUAAUUCCAGACUCAUAACUUCAUAUUAGUAAUAAGAUUUAAUUCGGCCGUCGGUUACAAUCCUAAAUUUAUGCCCGGAUAAUAAUCAUUCUCUCCUCCCCUUCUCAUCCAAACUCUUAAUUUUGACAUUAAUAGGCUUUAACCGACACGUCGGUUACAACCCUAAUAAGUACUAUAUUUCUCAGUCCCAUUUGGACUCCUAAAUUCACAACAAUACAGUCUUCAUCAUACUUUCUUCGUUUUUGAACGCAAUGAGUGUGAGGAUCAAAAACUAUCAGUUGACUUGCAAGAGUCACAAACAGUACGAUGUGAUUUUCGAAGAUACCGAAAUCGAAACAAUCGUCACUCGUGAUCCCGCACAGGUUUGUUCCUGGAUCAACGAAACUGAAGAAACAAACCAAUGCCGUCUCCACCGCUUGAUCGUCGGAUUCGACAUCGAAUGGCGCCCGAAUUUCUACCCAGGCGCUGGUCAAAACCCCGUUGCAACACUCCAACUCUGCGUCGGAACAAGGUGUCUUAUCUACCAAAUUAUUCACGCACCUUCCAUCCCCUGGCGACUCCGUAACUUCCUCAACGACGACGAUUACAGAUUCGUUGGCGUCGGUAUUGAGAAUGACGCGAAGAAGUUGUUGAAUGAUUACGGAAUUGAACUUUCG
rnacentral:lncRNA from 1 species